rnacentral:lncRNA from 1 species
AAUUCACUGCUGUUCGAUUUGAGCUGAGCUGCUGCAGACUUCUUCUUUCUUUGAGUUGUUUGUCCCAUUUUCUUUUAUAGGUAUUUUUCUGAACUUUGUAUGCUUGAUUUUAAGUUGUAUUUUGAAUAGAAGCUGAUUUCCUUGAACUUUAAGUAUGAAUGAAGUCAGAUUCUGUUUUUUUUUGUGGUGAUUUUCUUUGGAUUUUUGGCUGAUUCAAAGCUCCAAACCUGCUUUGUUUUGUGUUUGAGUAAUGGUUAAAGUAAUAAAACAAAUGGGAACAGUUUAUUAGUGUUAUGUAUGUUGUUUUAAAACAUGCCAUCAUGUAGUGAUCUUCUUCUUGUUUCUUUCAGAAAUAUGUUUGUUUGGUUUGUUGUUGGUAUUUUCUUUGGUUUCAAGCCAUAGUAGAAUCUUGGUCAUGAGCAAGCUGUUUUGAGCAUGGCAAUUUUUUUUUGGUUUUGAAGGAUAGAAAGUGCUUGUUGGCUAAUAACUUGGUUAAAGUCUUGCGGAUCUGACUGUUGCAAGCCAUAAAUCAAGGUUAGAUUUUAAAGGUUGUUAAAAGAAAAAGGGUCUAGAUGCUGAUGGUUCAGCUAUGUUUUUUUUUUAUUUCAGAAUCUAAUUUUUGUCACUGAAUCACUCUCUUUAAUUAUAAGAGAUCUCUAUGUCAUAUUUAGCUCUUUUCUUCGCAAAUCUUAGACUAGCUUUUUGUUGUCAUUGAUUAGAUGCUAAAGGUAUGGUGUCCAGGUUAAUAAAUAACUAUUGGAACCAAUUGAAGUCCAUUUGGUACAAGUUCA